rnacentral:rRNA from 1 species
AGAGUUUGAUCAUGGCUCAGAAGAACGCUGGCAGCGUGCAUAACACAUGCAAGUCGAACGCGAAAGGAUCCUUCGGGAUUUGGACGAGUGGCGAACGGGUGAGGAACACGUAAGAAUCUACCUUUCGGGUUGGGGAUAACUUCUGGAAACGGGAGCUAAUACCCAAUAUGCUGUGGAGUGAAAGAAUUUCGCCGAAAGACGAUCUUGCGUCUGAUUAGCUUGUUGGGGUGGUAAUGGCACACCAAGGCGACGAUCAGUAGCUGGUCUGAGAGGAUGGACAGCCACAUUGGGACUGAGACACGGCCCAGACUCCUACGGGAGGCAGCAGUGGGGAAUUUUCCGCAAUGGACGAAAGUCUGACGGAGCGACGCUGCGUGAAGGAUGAAGGCCCGUGGGUUGUAAACUUCUUUUCUCGAAGAAGAAAAAAAUGACGGUAUUCGAGGAAUAAGCAUCGGCUAACUCUGUGCCAGCAGCCGCGGUAAGACAGAGGAUGCAAGUGUUAUUCGGAAUGAUUGGGCGUAAAGAGUCUGUAGGCGGUUUAGAAAGUCUUUUGUGAAAUACUUCAGCUCAACUGAGGCUCCGCAAAAGAAACUUCUAUACUUGAGGGAAGUAGAGGUACAGGGAAUUCCCG